rnacentral:lncRNA from 1 species
GUUUAGUUAAAUUUGCAAAAAAAGGAUUUCUUUGUUUUUAAUUGAAUUCUAAAAUAAAAUAUAAAAAAAACUUGAUUGUCAAUAGGGUACCGCAGUCAACGUUGUUGUAUUAUCUCAAUCACUAAAAAACAAACAGAUAUAUAAACAAACAUUUACCUUGACACAAUAGCACAAUGACGGGAUGUAUAAGUAAUAAGGGCCGAAUCAUAUGAAAGAACGAAACACAAAAAGGCACACAGACAAAACACUUUAACUAAACCGAAAUACAAGAAUACAGAAAUAUCAUUUAAAUAAAACACAAACAAUUGAUUAUAUCAGUCUUUGCUUCGAUAACAGCAGUAUAUCCGUAAAGGACCACAAUAUUUUUAAAAGUGAUUUGAACAGCGUCAUCCUUAUAGUACCAAUCUACAAAGUCACUUUCUAUAAACAUUUAAAAAAGAUGUCAAAUAGUUCUAUAAUAUAACAGUAGUAAUGAUGAUAAUGAAAACAAUGUUUCUGUAGAUCAAGAAGAUUUAAAGAAGA